rnacentral:lncRNA from 1 species
AAAUGCUCAAUAAUCGAUUGGUAAAAAUUUUUAAAAAUAAUUAAUGCUAUCAAACUUAACAGUUCUCCAUUUUCAAUACCUAAUAAGUAUUUUUGGCUAAGGUUUUAAUAUUAUGCAGUUUUUAAAUUUUUCAUGUGCUUCUCUGAUCUAGGUAUGUCUUAGAGUUCUGCGAGUCAGCAGUGAAUGUUGGAAUCCUGUGGCAAAGCAAGGGAAGCAGCAUUUUAUAUUUUGGGUGGCUAUCUCCCAAAGUUCGAUACAGUUUUCGAUUGGCGAUAACUUUUUCAAAGUUUGUUCCUGUUUUCAUCUGGCCUUUAGACAGCCGUUUUUCAUUUCUGACUUUAGGUGAUAAACCAAGUCCUCCUGGGGCGCCUUUUAUUCAAAGUUUGUUUUGGUGCUGUGUACAAAAUAACAUGGGAAUCAUCAAAGGAGAAUGGAGGAACAAUUGAGCUCUACAGAUUGGAAGGAAAAAAGAAAGAUCUGUCUGCACUACCUAUAAGUAAUUCUCUGAGCGCAGACAAUUCUUCCGAGAUUGUCUCUAAUAACUGGACUCUUUACUACAAUGGAACAGAGAAUUAUUGGAUGUCACGGAACUAUCACCGAACUGUCAGUAUCAGUUCGAUGUGUGCUCUAAAAACAUGUAUGGAUGGAGCAACUUCAGCGAAAUUAGUGAUUCAUACGAUUUGGAUGCCAAUCAUCAAUUGAUCAUCCAUGAUACAAAUCUGGGUUACCUUUCUGGAUUUUAUUACCACUUCUCUUCAUUUUCAUUCUUGUGCUCAUCUGCGUUCUCCAUCGUUUUUUUCGGCGAACGGGCAAGAAGAAGAAUAACAUUUUUGUAAUGGGAAUGGAGUUUCCUGCAGAAGGGGCAGCGACGCAGAGCUAGCAAACUUUACGCGAGUUACCACGACAUCCGAACUUCAUCGAAAAUACUAACAUACUUUAUGCAACUUCUGACAAUUGCUUUUUUGAUGAUGAAGAGCCGCUGAAGUCUCUGCCGCACAUCAGACGGGAUCAAAUCACACUUACUAAAUUCUUGGGAAGCGGGUGCGUUGGGGAAGUUUUUGAGGGAGUUGCUAAAGACACGUUUUCAAUGGCCCGACAGAUGAAACUAGAAAUUGUUUAGAAACCAGGGUAGCCAUCAAAGUAAGUCCUUUGUUCAAUUAUCAUUUAAACUUUUGAUUCAAUUAAUCAUCACAACAAACUAACUUCUAUGUUUUUCUAGCACCAGGGUCUUUUGUUCCUGUAGACAUUCACAUUCAUUCAUUUCUCUAAGAUUAGGAGCUUAAGUUUAAGAAAAUUACAGUAUACAGAAAAUUAAGAUCAUCACAUUACCAACAAAAGGAAAGAAAAGAAAUAUGCUCUC